GGUAGCCAAGCCCGGAAGGGAUAAACGCUGAAGGCAUCUAAGCGUGAAGCCCCCCUCAAGAUGAGAUAUCCCAUCCGAAAGGAGUAAACCCCCUUGAAGACGACGAGGUUGAUAGGGCAGAGGUGGAAGUGUGGUAACACAUGGAGCUGACUGCUACUAAUAGGGUGAGGGCUUGACCAAGAA
rnacentral:rRNA from 1 species